UUUAGUUCUUCGGUGAAUUUAAGUCAUGAAUGUUUUGUUCAAGAAAACUUUAAUGAAAAUUCUUUUGGGCAAGAAAACUAUAAUGAAUCGGAUAGUUUAUGUGCAGAAAAGAAAGAAUCUGCUGUUUAGAAUCAAAAUGCAACAUUAGUCCUUCUUAAUUUGUACAAAGCAAAAGUAGAUAUGUUAGACCAUCCAAAAAAGAAGGACAAAAUAUGGGAAACAAUAUCUAUCGCUCUGCAACAAGAUUUUGCUAUUCAGAUGUCUGUAGAUCAAGACCAUUGGAAAAUGAAUUCCUUAAUGAAGAAAUAUAAGGAAUGUGUAGAUAAUAAUUCGAAAUCAGGGAGAAACCUAAUGACAUUCAAAUGGUUCGAUUAAAUGGAUGAGAUCUUUAAUAAAGGAAAAAUUGCUACUACAAAUUAUACUUUCUUAUCCAAAUAUAUGAAUAUUGCAAAGCCUUCAGCUUCAUCUACGACAAAAGUUUGACCCAAGUUCUUCAAACUCAACCUUAGUUCCUUCUGAUACUAAAAGUUCUUGCUCUGAAGAUUCGAGUAUUUUUAAAUCUAUUGAUUCCAUAUUAAGUAUGAGAAGCCAAAAUAAAUGUUUGCCGCGUGGAACUAACUCUAAUAUAGCAAGGGAUAAAGUUACAUUGAAAAAUCAAUGGUUAGAAUAUGUAAAGAUGAAGAUUGAAUUGACAAAGUCUGUGAUGAAAGAUAUGUAUCUGCUUCUGAACAUAAGAAAGAAUUGCUGAAGAUGAAAAAAAAGUAUUAUGCUGCGAAAGAAGAAGAAAUAAAGCAACGAAAACAUUAUUUAACAAAGUUACAAGACAAAACAAAGAGACACACAGAAAUUGUAGCAAUUGAGGAAAAA